UACGGAGGGUGCAAGCGUUAUCCGGAUUCACUGGGUUUAAAGGGUGCGUAGGUGGGUUGGUAAGUCAGUGGUGAAAUCCCCAAGCUUAACUUGGGAACUGCCAUUGAUACUAUCAGUCUUGAAUACCGUGGAGGUCGGCGGAAUAUGUCAUGUAGCGGUGAAAUGCUUAGAUAUGACAUAGAACACCAAUUGCGAAGGCAGCUCACUACGCGAGUAUUGACACUGAGGCACGAAAGCGUGGGGAUCAAACAGG
rnacentral:rRNA from 1 species